rnacentral:rRNA from 1 species
GCGUAACGCGUGGGAAUCUGUCCUUGGGUCCGGAAUAACAGUUAGAAAUGACUGCUAAUACCGGAUGAUGACUUCGGUCCAAAGAUUUAUCGCCCAGGGAUGAGCCCGCGUCGGAUUAGCUAGUUGGUGAGGUAAAGGCUCACCAAGGCGACGAUCCGUAGCUGGUCUGAGAGGAUGAUCAGCCACACUGGGACUGAGACACGGCCCAGACUCCUACGGGAGGCAGCAGUGGGGAAUAUUGGACAAUGGGCGAAAGCCUGAUCCAGCAAUGCCGCGUGAGUGAUGAAGGCCUUAGGGUUGUAA